rfam:Gossypium arboreum cultivar AKA8401 contig_3425_3, whole genome shotgun sequence.
UGUUAAAAAUUUCAUCCAUUUUUACUAUUAAAAAUUGACAUAGUUGAUGGAAUAACUAGGCAGCUGCACAUGGCAUGCCAUGUGUGCCUUAUUUUGACGUAUAUGGACUUAUUUUUUAAUAAUAAAAUUUGAUGGAAAUUUUAACA